GAUUUCUGGUGUGGUGCGCCGAGCCCGCCGCCGUUAGGCGGUGAGUGCUUGUUCGCGCGCCUACCAUCCUUCCGGAGAGCCCGCACUACCCUUAAGUGGGCUGGUGUGUGCGAUCUGGAUCGUUUACUUUGAAAAAAUUAGAGUGUUUAAAGCAGGCUUUUGCUAUGAAUACAUUAGCAUGGAAUAAUAAGAUAGGGCUUUAGUUCUAUUUUGUUGGUUUCUAGGACUGAAGUAAUGAUUGAUAGGGAUAGUUGGGGGUGCUAGUAUUCAGCGGCCAGAGGUGAAAUUCUCGGAUUCGCUGAAGACUAACUUAUGCGAAAGCAUU
rnacentral:rRNA from 1 species